AGCUCUUACCCCCACAACCCCCAUCUCUCUGUAACUUAAUUUUUCUUCUCAAGUUUCGAACAAGUACAGAUAGAACAACUUGUUUUCUAAUCUUUUUCUCUUUUUCUCAUUCCUCUUCUUUCUUUAUUCUUCUUUUCCCCCCUCUUUUUGUUUCCUUUUCCUGACUCUUGAAAACCAUGGCAAGUGCUUAUUAUUUCAGUUGAAUAUGUUAAAAAUUGUUAUCAAGAAGUUGAUUUUUUGUGUAUAAAAAUGGUGAACUAAGAUACUGUUAAAAGAGUGGAAUAAAUGAAGAGGAGAGACAGAAGAACCAAAGAUGGGAAAAGGACUGGAAAAGAAAAAGAGACUAAAAGGAAGAGGCUGAAAACUUAAAAAAUUGGAUGAAAAUUAUGAAGAUAGUCUGACAUGAUAUAUUAAGAGCUCUGAAUGAUGCCUAGGGAUGUAGAAGAGGAGAAAAACACUUGAGUACCAGCAUGUUAUGAAGAAUAAGCAAGAAGAAAGAGAAGGAGAAGAAGCAGGAGGAGGAGGAGAGAAGGAAAGGGAGGAGGAGGAGGAGAAAAAGAUGGUGGUAGAGGAGGAGGAGAAGAAGAAGAAGGAGGAGAAGGAGAAGGAGAAGAAGGAGCAGGAGGAGGAGGAAGAAGAAGAAG
rnacentral:lncRNA from 1 species